rnacentral:rRNA from 1 species
UGGGAACCUUCCCUAUGGUUCGGAAUAGCUCAGGGAAACUUGGGGUAAUACCGGAUACGCCCUUACGGGGAAAGAUUUAUCGCUGAUGGAGCGGCCCGCGUCUGAUUAGCUAGUUGGUGAGGUAACGGCUCACCAAGGCGACGAUCAGUAGCUGGUCUGAGAGGAUGAUCAGCCUCACUGGGACUGAGACACGGCCCAGACUCCUACGGGAGGCAG